rnacentral:rRNA from 1 species
CCUACGGGAGGCAGCAGUGGGGAAUUUUCCGCAAUGGGCGAAAGCCUGACGGAGCAAUACCGCGUGAGGGAGGAAGGCUCUUGGGUCGUAAACCUCUUUUAUCAGGGAAGAACACAAUGACGGUACCUGAUGAAUCAGCAUCGGCUAACUCUGUGCCAGCAGCCGCGGUAAUACAGAGGAUGCAAGCGUUAUCCGGAAUUAUUGGGCGUAAAGCGUCCGCAGGUGGUUUUGGUAGUCUGCUGUCAAAGCGCGAGGCUCAACUUCGUAUCGGCGGUGGAAACUCCAAGACUAGAGUUUGGUAGGGGUCACGGGAAUUCCCAGUGUAGCGGUGAAAUGCGUAGAUAUUGGGAAGAACACCAGCGGCGAAAGCGCGUGACUGGGCCUGAACUGACACUCAUGGACGAAAGCUAGGGGAGCGAAAGGGAUUAGAUACCCCAGUAGUCA